CUCUGGUCUGCUCGGCUGGGUCUGUGCCCACUCUUUUGGCUGCUUUCCAGAAACCUGUUGUGCUCUCACAACAUCUCCUUUGUUCACAUGGACAGAGGGAGGAGGUAAGAAGAGGAAGUGUCCAGAAUCAUUGUCAUGUUCGAGAUGCAGGACCGCAGAGAGAGUGAAGUAAGAUAGGAAACUUUGAAGCAUGGCAACAAGGAGCCAAUACUGUGCCCAGGUAAGGAAAUAGUCUCUGAUAAAGUGAGCCUAAUCAGAUUGGAAAGAUUCCAUAAAUAUUAUUGGUCUAAAACACUGCUCAAAUUCCUAAUGAACACAUACCCCCAAAGGACCAGUUAAUUUUUAAACCAUUUAUUUAGAAAUAACUUCAAACUGAGAAUUUCUGUGAAUAAUACAGAGAAUUCCUAUAAGCCCUUCAACCAAAUUCAACAAUUG
ensembl:lncRNA